rnacentral:rRNA from 1 species
UACAGAGGGUGCAAGCGUUAAUCGGAAUUACUGGGCGUAAAGCGUGCGUAGUCGGUUAUCUAAGUCAGGUGUGAAAUCCCCGGGCUCAACCUGGGAAUUGCAUUUGAUACUGGAUAGCUAGAGUUCGGCAGAGGGAAGUGGAAUUCCUGGUGUAGCGGUGGAAUGCGCAGAUAUCAGGAGGAAUACCCAUAGCGAAGGCAGCUCGCUGGGACGUUACUGACGCUGAGGCGCGAAAGCGUGGGGAGCGAACAGG